GUUGGCCAGGUUACCGGACACAUUUUUUUAACUAGAUACCCCAAUGAUGAUUGUGGCCAAGUUUGGUUAAAUUUGGCCCAGUAGUUUCAGAGGAGAAGAUUUUUCUAAAAGAUUACUUAGAUUUAUGAAAAAUGGUUAAAAAUUGACUAUAAAGGGCAAUAACUCCUAAAGUGGUCAACUGACCAUUUUGGUCAUGUUGACUUAUUUGUAGAUCUUACUUUGCUGAACAUUAUUGCUGUUUACAGUUUAUCUCUAUCUAUAAUAAUAUUCAAGAUAAUAACCAAAAACAGC
rnacentral:lncRNA from 1 species